GUUGUUUUAUUAUUUAGUAUGACCUAAUAUGUGACAAGUCGUAUCUGUUCGUGGUUGCUCAGUCGUGUGCGUGGGUCGGUAUGUUUAUUGGAUUUCUCGUUGGUGGUUAUGCAGGAGACAGAUGGGGAAGAAAGAUAACAAUUGAUUUUUCACUAAUAGGAGUUACACUUGCCACCUGGUUAAUGGUAUAUCCGAAACAUUUUGCUGUCUAUAUAGCGGCCCGUACUUUUAUUGGCAUGGGGACAGG